CCGGGAAACCGGGGCUAAUACCGGAUGGUUGUUUGAACCGCAUGGUUCAAACAUAAAAGGUGGCUUCGGCUACCACUUACAGAUGGACCCGCGGCGCAUUAGCUAGUUGGUGAGGUAACGGCUCACCAAGGCAACGAUGCGUAGCCGACCUGAGAGGGUGAUCGGCCACACUGGGACUGAGACACGGCCCAGACUCCUACGGGAGGCAGCAGUAGGGAAUCUUCCGCAAUGGACGAAAGUCUGACGGAGCAACGCCGCGUGAGUGAUGAAGGUUUUCGGAUCGUAAAGCUCUGUUGUUAGGGAAGAACAAGUACCGUUCGAAUAGGGCGGUACCUUGACGGUACCUAACCAGAAAGCCACGGCUAACUACGUGCCAGCAGCCGCGGUAAUACGUAGGUGGCAAGCGUUGUCCGGAAUUAUUGGGCGUAAAGGGCUCGCAGGCGGU
rnacentral:rRNA from 1 species